rnacentral:rRNA from 1 species
AACGAACGCUGGCGGCAUGCCUAACACAUGCAAGUCGAACGAGACCUUCGGGUCUAGUGGCGCACGGGUGCGUAACGCGUGGGAACCUGCCCUUAGGUUCGGAAUAACUCCCCGAAAGGGGUGCUAAUACCGGAUAAUGUCUUCGGACCAAAGAUUUAUCGCCUUUGGAGGGGCCCGCGUUGGAUUAGCUAGUUGGUAGGGUAAAAGCCUACCAAGGCGACGAUCCAUAGCUGGUCUGAGAGGAUGAUUACCCACACUGGGACUGAGACACGGCCCAGACUCCUACGGGAGGCAGCAGUGGGGAAUAUUGGACAAUGGGCGAAAGCCUGAUCCAGCAAUGCCGCGUGAGUGAUGAAGGCCUUAGGGUUGUAAAGCUCUUUUACCCGGGAUGAUAAUGACAGUACCGGGAGAAUAAGCCCCGGCUAACUCCGUG